CUCCCCCGCUCUCCCCUCGCCUCAUCCACAUCAUGGCCUCCUCCUCCUCCCUCACCGCCGCCCAGGCCGUCGUCGGCCGCCCCAUCACCCCAUCCACCCACUCCCACCACACUCAUCUCUCCCUCCGCCUCAGCUCACUCUCCGGCCCCGUCCUCCGCCUCCCUGCCGUCCGCUCAAGGGCGGCGCCGCCGCGCCGGGCUGGCGCUGUCCGCGCGGCGGCGGUGGAGGCGCUGGAGGGGACUGCGGCGACUGCGACGUUAGUGGAUAAGUCGGUGAAUACCAUCCGAUUCCUGGCGAUUGAUGCGGUGGAGAAAGCGAACUCAGGUCAUCCAGGGCUGCCCAUGGGCUGUGCGCCGAUGGGGCACAUACUGUAUGAUGAGGUGAUGCGGUACAACCCGAAGAAUCCUUAUUGGUUUAACAGGGAUCGGUUUGUACUGUCAGCUGGCCAUGGAUGUAUGCUGCAGUAUGCGCUCCUCCACCUCGCCGGCUACGACAGUGUCAAUGAGGAUGAUUUGAAGUCCUUCAGGCAGUGGGGAAGCCGAAGUCCCGGCCAUCCUGAGAACUUUGAAACUCCCGGCAUUGAAGUCACUACUGGGCCUUUGGGUCAGGGUAUCGCCAAUGCUGUUGGACUGGCACUUGCCGAGAAGCAUCUAGCUGCCCGUUUCAAUAAACCCGAUAGCGAGAUUGUUGACCAUUACACGUAUUGCAUACUUGGAGAUGGAUGCCAUAUGGAGGGCAUAUCGAAUGAAGCAUGUUCUCUUGCUGGCCAUUGGGGUCUUGGUAAAUUGAUUGCAUUCUAUGAUGAUAACCAUAUCUCGAUUGAUGGAGACACCGCUAUUGCUUUCACUGAGGACGUGAAUGCCCGUUUUGAUGCUCUUGGGUGGCACACUCUCUGGGUGAAGAAUGGUAACACAGGCUAUGAUGAGAUUCGUGCUGCAAUCAAGGAAGCAAAGUCUGUGAAAGACAAACCAACAAUGAUCAAGGUGACUACUACCAUUGGUUAUGGAUCGCCUAACAAGGCAAACUCGUACAGCGUACACGGGAGUGCAUUGGGUGCAAAGGAAGUUGAUGCAACCAGGCAGAAUCUUGGGUGGCCUUAUGAGCCCUUCCACGUUCCUGAAGAUGUGAAGAGUCAUUGGAGCCGCCAUGGCCCAGAAGGUGCUGCGCUAGAAGCUGCGUGGAAUGCGAAGUUUGCUGAGUAUGAGAAGAAAUAUAAAGAGGAGGCUGCUGAAUUGAAAAGUAUCAUUACCGGGGAAUUACCAGCGGGAUGGGAAAAGGCUCUUCCGGUGUAUACUCCUGAAAGUCCCGGAGAUGCUACUAGGAAUUUAUCCCAGCAGUGCUUGAAUGCGCUUGCGCCCGUACUACCUGGACUUAUUGGAGGAAGUGCUGAUCUUGCAUCCUCCAACAUGACAUUGCUCAAAAUGUUUGGAGAUUUCCAAAAGGAUACACCCGAGGAGAGGAAUGUCCGUUUUGGUGUCAGAGAACAUGGAAUGGGCGCCAUCUGUAAUGGUAUCGCCCUCCAUAGCCCUGGCUUUGUCCCCUAUUGUGCCACUUUCUUUGUUUUCACGGACUACAUGAGAGGUGCGAUAAGGAUCUCAGCCUUGAGCGAAGCAGGUGUAAUCUAUGUGAUGACACAUGAUUCCAUUGGUCUUGGAGAAGAUGGGCCGACCCAUCAACCGAUUGAGCAUCUAGUUAGCUUCCGAGCAAUGCCCAAUAUCUUGAUGAUCCGGCCAGGUGAUGGGAAUGAGACUGCUGGUGCGUACAAGGUUGCGGUGGUCAACAGGAGCCCCACACCCCGGGAGAGAGUCCAAGCUUGCUUCAAUGGCGAUCUACCUCCGAUCCCUCGCCGCCGCCGUCCUCCUCCUCGGCCUUGCCGCCGACGCCGAGUCCAUGUCCGACUCCUCAGCACUGGAAUCCGUUGCCACGUCCGUCCACGACGUCCUCCCCCAGUACGGCCUCCCCAAGGGCCUCCUUCCCAAAUCCGUGAAGAGUUACUCCCUCAGCGGCAACGGCGAGUUCGAGAUCGAACUCUCCGCCCCCUGCUACGUCCAGUUCUCCGAUCUCGUCUACUAUGAGCGCCACAUCAAAGGGAAGCUCUCUUAUGGCUCGAUCUCCGAUCUGUCCGGCAUCAAGGCUAAGAAGCUCUUCGUCUGGGUGCCGAUUACCGGCAUCGUCGCACAUCCGGCCGACUCCACCGUCGUUUUCGAGGUUGGAUUUCUGUCGGAGUCUCUUCCUGUAUCACAGUUUGCUGAGAUUCCAGUCUGCAAGGCCAAGGUUGGGUGCCGCGGGUCUGCUGGGAUCAUUAACGAGAAGCUGCCGAUCUCUGAGGUUUAAGCUGGAUAAAUCUCCCAAGUUAAGAUGCGAACCCGCAUCAGUGAUCAGGGUUAUUGGGGAGAGUAUGUUUCAACGUUCAAAUAAUGAUUUAUGUAGAGAAUUCGUGUAUAAUUAAAUGGCAAUGUUAUCUGGUUGUAAACUUUAUCUGUUUUUAUAAUAGUAAGUGUCCUUG
rnacentral:misc_RNA from 1 species